CUGAAUGAUGGCAGCAGAAUAGAGUGCUAGUGAUUGUGACAAAGUCGAAACAGAUAGUUUGUAAGAAUCUGAUGGAAGGCCUUCACCAGGUGCCAGAUCAGUUAGCUUCACACGACCUAGAGAUGGCAGGCCAUUACUUGCCAUGAAACCCUUUGGGUAUACUUGCUACCUAAUUUUGAAGAGAGGCACAGGUUACACUGACAAACUCAAAAUUAAAAACUGAAACAGCAUAAUCAUUCAUCAAUCAGAAUCUCUCUCUUUUUUUCUUAUGAGAAUUUAGGAACUCCUUGACCCCUAAGUUGAAGCCACAAAACUGAACCAUCUACGUACUGCAAGAAGAAAGUAUAUGAAGCAUAAAUAUAUACGUACAAAUACAUGUGUGUACAUUAUGAACAUUUUAUAUUGAAAAAGUGCUCUCCUAAGGUCCUUAAAAAGUCAAGCUGCUCAACUAUUGAUCGUCUAUGUACGCUAGAAAUGCAAGAUCUAUGAUACGUUGCAUGCCGAGGGGACAUUUGACCUAUGUAUAGAUAAAGUUAGAAGCUAAGUUUUUCCAAUUACUAGUAUGAGCAACAACAACAACAACAACAACAACAACAAAGCCUUUCCCACUAAGUGGGUCGGCUAUAUGAAUCCUUAGACGCCAUUGCGCUCGGUUUUGUGUCAUGUCCUCGUUAGAUCCAAGUACUCUAAGUCUUUUCUUAGGUCUCUCAAAGUUUUCCUAGGUCUUCCUCUACCCCUUCGACCCUGAACCUGUCCCGUAGUCUCUCCUACUUACUCGGAUAUCCUCAUUCCCAAUUAUCCUUUCUCGUUGCCACACAUCACGAAGCAUCCUCAUUCCGCCACACCCAUUUUGUGUACGUGUUGAUGCUUCACGCCCAACAUCUGUGCCAAUACAACAUCGGCCUUAUUGCCUCCUAAAUUUUCCUUGACUUCAGUGCCUACGACGGUCACACACAGCCGGGAUGCACUCUACACUUCAUCAUCCAGCUUGUAUUCUAUGGUUGAGAUCUCAUCUAAUUCUCUCGUUCUCUUUGCACGAUAGUCCUAGUAGCGAAACACGCUUUUUGGUGAUCUUCGCUAGAUUGCUCCGGUCAUUAGUGGGUAAGUAUAUAAAUGGAUAGAGACAAGAAAGCAAACACAAGAUGUACGUGGUUCACCCAGAUGGCUACGUCAGAAAUAGAGGGAUUCUCAUUAAUUGUGAAGGUUUACCAAGUACAUAGGUUCAAGCUCUCCUUUAGUGAGUACAAGUGAAUGAUUAGUACAAAUGACAUUGGGAAAUAUUGUGGGAGAAUGAUCUCGUAAUCACGAACUCUAAGUAUCGGAACGUAUCGUCUUGAUUGCCUUAUCUGUCUCAUAGGUAAUGUGGCAUCUUCUCUGGAGUACUCUUCUCCAUCCAGGGUUGUAUCUUAACUAGUGGAGAUGACAAGGUAAUGUAUCAAUUUCACUUGAAGCUUACUUGUAGUUUCAGGUUGGUCAGCGCGAUACAAACCAUGUAGUGGAGUCCCCAAGUCGCCGAGCUAGAGGAUCUGCUAAAAGAGGUGACAGACAAGGUAAGCAAUCAGAGCUCGGCUGAUUGUUCACUUCUCCCUAUCUUGCAGGCAGCAUGAAGGAUAAAGAGAAGAAAUGAGAAGAGAUUGAUAUGGGUACUUUGCUUUUGAAGAAGUAACUUCCAACAGGCUUAUUCUUGAACUGAGCUGGAGGGUUUUCUGUUUCCUCCGAGUAUAAGGCCGACUGAAGGAUUUGAGGGUCAAACAAGUCCAUCAAAUCUAGAGUACGUUCGACCCCUGAUAUGGGAUACUUUGCUUUGACAGAGUAUGGAAUGAUGGCACGUGUUGCUGUUCGCUUGUCUCCACAUGCUUCCUUGUAUCCUUCUCCCUUGCCCUAGCUGUUCCUCAGGCACGAUUGCGGUAUCUUCCUGGAAGCAUAAGAUGUUGAAGAUGUACUCGAGGCAAUGGGUAAGUAAUAGGUAAGGGGUUCUAGGCAGUCAGUUCCUGGCUGGAAGUUUGAUUCCAAGUGCUGACUGAUUGCUCUCUUCUCCUUGUUUGCAAUAAGAACAAGGCAAAGGAAAAGACAGGGAAAAAGCAUGAUAUGGGAUACUCUUGCUUUUUAACCCUGAUGAUAUGAAUAUCUUGCUCUAGUAUAGCUUGUUUGCAGAGAUAUUAUCGCGGGGAAAGAAGCUGAUAUUCGAAAGGCGUUGGGUGCCCCAUAUGAGGAGGGUUGAGCAUUUUUGCAGGUCUGCCUGUCGUUGGGGAUGGAGGUCGACAUAUAUAGAGUCUCCUUAAAACAAGUAAUAAUGCUAUUCCGUUUCCUACUUGGUCAUAGCCAGGGGGGCUCCAGCGUUCACAUGUUUUAAUUGUCAGAGCACUUUGAAAGUGGUUUGUGGUAUUGGAAAGGUGAUGUUGCAUGUGAAGUUACAGACAGCUUUAUCCCCAAGGAGUCGGCUCUUGAAGUUGGGAAAGUUUGCCUCUUGUUUUCGAACAAGCAACUCCUUGGGGUCUGGCUCCGAGAUUCGGAGACGAUGCCUCUUCGAUUUGAGAAAGCAAUCAUGCUGGGGGGCUCUCGAGAUUCGGAGAACGAUGCCUCUUCGAUUUUUGAGAGAUGCCUAUUGUGGGUUUAUCCAAAGGCAUUUAUUCCUUCGUCUUCUAGGCUGUACGCGUAAUGAGCUCCAAUGUCAACCUGUGCCUCCUUCUAGGGUUCUGUCCAGUACUAAGGUCGAAUGAUCCCUCCGGUGCCUCUCUUUCUGGGCUCACGACUGCUGAGAUUCUAAGCAACCUUUGUGAGGCUCCCUCUUGUUUGUUUGUUAAUAACAUUUGUAAUCGGGGAUAUCUUUUCCUUCAUUUCACGUAUUGUUUAAUUACACAACCUUCUUCGCUAGUUCUUUGAAUUUUCUUUGUUGAAGCUUUGUGAGUGGGCAUUAGGUUUGAGUAUGUUCCUUAAUUUCCUGAGUGAGGAAAACUUCUCGGUUGGAGACUGGAAAAUCCAAGUCAUUGAGUGGGAUCGGCUAUAUGAAUUCUGAACGCUUGUGCUCGGUCUUGUGUUAUGUCCUCGUUAGAUCCAGUACUUAAGUCUUUUCUUAGUCUCUUCCAAGUUUUCUAGUCUUCCUACCCCUUCGGCUGAACUCUAUCCUAGUCGCAUCUUCAAUCGAAGUCAGUAGGCCUUCUUUGCACAUGUCCAAACCCGUAAAACCGAUUUUCUCUCAUCUUUCCUUCAAUUGCGGCUACUCCUACUUUACAUGGAUAUCCUCAUUCAUAAAUCUUAUCCUUUCUCGUGUGCCCACACAUCCAACGAAGCAUCCUCAUCUCCGCUACCCAUUUUGUGUAGUGUUGAUGCUUUACGCCCAAAUUCUGUGUCAUACAGCAUCGCCGGCCUUAUUGCCUCUAUAAAAAUUUUCCCUUGAGCUUCGUGGCAUAUAGGCGUCACACAGCAGCCGGAUCAAUCUUCCAUUCAUCCAUCCACUUGUAUCUAGGUUGAGAUUUCCAUCUAUUCUCCGUUCUUUGCAAUAGAUCCUAGUAACGAAAACGGUCGCUCUUGGUAUUUCUUGAUCUCGAUCCUCACCCCUAAUUUUGGCUCCAUUGCACUGAACUUGCACCUCAUUUUCUGUCUUUGAUCGGCUUAGGCGAAGAUUUAGAUUCCAAACUCCUCUCCAAAGGUAAGUUUGCAUUACCCUUCCUGAGUUCAUCUAUCAACACUAUUCGUCUGCGAAGCAUACACCAAGAAUAUCAUCUUGAAUAUGUCCUGUUAACUCAUCAAUUACAACGCAAAAANUAUAUGGGCUCAAGCAGGCGCCCCGUGCAUGGUCCAAUGUUUUUCCACUCAUUUGGAAGAUUUGGGUUUCCCCUCUACGCGGUCAUCGUUUUUACCUAAUUCAUGGCUCAACUCGUAUUUAUCUCUUAAUUUAUGUUGAUGAUAUUUUGGGUCCGGGAAUAAUCUCUUAUAUUGUCACCUCAUUAAGAUUUUGGGCCUCCGUUUCUCUAUAAGGACCUUGGACGGUUCAUUAUUUCUUAGAUGGAGGUGGUCCGCACUCCAUCAGGUCUCUCUCUUUCCCAACAGAAGUAUGCACUGACCUCCUUACCGCACCAAAUGCGGUGCCGGGUUCCUACUCUGCCGUUAGUGGGCGACGGCUCAGUCUUCGGAUGGUGACUCUGCCGGAUCCUACUGAAACCGAAGUGUUGUCGGCGCCCUUCAUUACUUGACUCUUCACUCGCCCCGAAUCAACUUCGCCGUCAACCAAGUCUGCCAAUCUUCACCAGCCGACUUCUACUCAUUGGGCCGCGUCAGCAUUCUUUCGUUACCUUGUCGGCACUACUUCUCACGGUCUUAUCUACAAGCUGGUUCUUUUGUCUUACGGCAUUUCCGAUGCCGAUUAUGCCGGGAUCCUGAUGAUCGGCGUUCCACCGGGGGGCUAUUGCUGUACUGGGUUCCAAUCUUGUCUCAUGGAGUGCCAAGAAACAAAAUGGGGUCUCUCCGGUCCAGCACUGAGCCGAGUAUCGUCAAUUGCAAUCACCGCUGCCCUCUUUCAUGGUUUCGUAUGCUGUUCGUGACCUCCAGUUUCCUCUCCAUUGUCCUUACCACUGUUCGUGUGACAAUAUCAGUGCUAAUUCCUUUGCUUUCCAACCGGUGUUUUGCCCGCACUCGGCAUGUUGAGGUAGAUUCCAUUUAUGUUCGUGAAAGGUUGUCGCAAGGAGCUUUGAUGUUCAGUUAUCUUUCUAUCAUGAUCAGAUUGCUGACAUCUUCACCAAGGGCCUUUCUCUUCCUCGUUUUCGACUUCUGGUUUCCAAGCUUCCUGUACUUGAUUGUACUGUCAGCUUGCGGGGGUAAAGGAUGAUACAUUCCUGAUCUCUUGGGAUUGUUUCCUGUUUAUCAUGAUUUCCAGAUUUCCCUGUUUUAUUAAAACAUUCCCUUUAUGUAUUCUUUGUAGAUUAAUUAUACUUGUAAAUCAAGUCAUUGUACACUAUUUAAAUCAAUGAUAAUGCACCCUCUAUAGUAUCGAGGGAUUGAGCCAAAAUACCUUCUUUUACUUUUGCUGUCUUGUCUGCAAUUCCUCCUUUGAGUUAUCUUUUAGUUAGUAUCAACAAGGACAAGAAUUCCAGGGAUGGUGACCGUGCGUAGACCUGAUGAAUCAGUGGUGUGUCUCGGUUGGCUACCCAUACGAACUUUUUUACUUGAUCGCUAGAAUGGGACUUACAAUUACAAUUAACCGAGUGUUGACUGGCCAGCCUGUCCAGGUUCAGAUAGACUUAACUCCAUAUCAUGAGUAGCUGUCCAACCAGGUUCAUAGGCUUCAAGGAAACCGAUCUUUGCCUUGUCGGGGAGAUCAUGGGAAUGAACAAAUGGCACCUCGUUUGGCCACCCAAUCUCCAUUCUUAUAUUGGCAAAGGGGCUAUCAAGUGUCUGAAUGUGAUUCUCACACUCCUUCAGGUUGCAGAACCUCAGCUUGAUUCCCUUCUUGUCUGCAAUGUCUUGAACCCUUUCCAUCAGGACUCUCUGGACCUCGACCCACAAUCUCUUGGAAGGUGGCAGAGGUUUGGUUCUUUCACCCUUUCUCCUCCUCAACAAAGGCUUCAUAGAUCCUGUUCCAGCAUUUCAUCGAUCCAAGGAACCUAAUGUUAAAAAGCUUCUCACAUAAGAGAUACACAUAAACACGUGCAAUCCAAUAUCAAGAGGACUCAAGAGACGGAUAUAAUUUUUAGAAGAUAAAACUAGAUUGAAGAUCCUUGUUAUGACAGCAGAAAUGCGAAAACUAUUAAGUAGUUGAUGAUUACUAUCAAUAGAGUUGGACUUAAUUUAGCUUAUACAUUGAACUUAUUUUUAGUGUGUGCAUGUGCUUCAGUCAGUAAGACCAAUCCUAAUUAAAGUAAGCUGUCAUUAAAAAAAUUGCAUUCAUGAAAUCAAUUUACAGUAUGUAACAAGCAGGCAAUUGGUAAAGAAGAUUAAAUGCAGCAUACCAUCUUGUGCUGCAUGGAAAUUGGAACUUUGGAAACCGUGUCUGUUAAAGAGUUGAUUGGUGGGGUGAGAUCUCUGCAUAAAGUCAUCAACCGCUACUGGAAGCUGGAACUGAGCUUCAACCCCAUGACCAGCAGCUCUCAUCUCUGAACAACUAAGAUUGGUCAUGGAUUUAGGCAUGAAUUUAAAAGCCAAAGAACAUCGCCCAAACAAGUUGCUCUGUGUAUUAGCAGUCUCCGUUCUCUGCAGUGCAGGGUUAACAUAUCCUGCAGUUGCCUGAUAGAGUGCGAGUCCAGGGUAAACAAUAGCUUCUUGAGGACCAGUCACGAGGGUCAUUGUUAUUAACCAUAUCUGCAGCUGGGUAUGAUGCUUUCUGGUGGAAGUAGAAGCGAGCCGAAUCUAAACCCAACCUCAAAAGAGCCCCAUCACUCACUGGAAAACUGAAUGAUGGCAGCAGAAUAGAGUGCUAGUGAUUGUGACAAAGUUGAAACGGAUAGUUUGUAAGAUUCUGAUGGAAGGCCUUCAGCAGGUGCCAGAUCAGUUAGCUUCACACGACCUAGAGAUGGCAGGCCAUUACUUGCCAUGAAACCCUUUGGGUAUACUUGCUACCUGAUUUUGAAGAGAGGCACAGGUUACCACUGACAUAACUCAAAAUUAAUAAACUGAAAACAGCAUAAUCAUUCAUCAAUCAGAAUCUCCUCUUUUUUUUCUUAUGAGAAUUUAGGAACUCCUUGACCCUUAAGCCGAAGCCACAAAAACUGAACCAUCUACGUACUGCAAAGAAA
rnacentral:lncRNA from 1 species